rnacentral:rRNA from 1 species
CUUGAGCUUUUAGUGGCGCAGCUAACGCAUUAAGUUGACCGCCUGGGGAGUACGGCCGCAAGGUUAAAACUCAAAUGAAUUGACGGGGGCCCGCACAAGCGGUGGAGCAUGGGGUUUAAUUCGAAGCAACGCGAAGAACCUUACCAGGCCUUGACAUCCAAUGAACUUUCUAGAGAUAGAUUGGUGCCUUCGGGAACAUUGAGACAGGUGCUGCAUGGCUGUCGUCAGCUCGUGUCGUGAGAUGUUGGGUUAAGUCCCGUAACGAGCGCAACCCUUGUCCUUAGUUACCAGCACGUUAUGGUGGGCACUCUAAGGAGACUGCCGGUGACAAACCGGAGGAAGGUGGGGGUGACGUCAAGUCAUCAUGGCCCUUACGGCCUGGGCUACACACGUGCUACAAUGGUCGGUACAGAGGGUUGCCAAGCCGCGAGGUGGAGCUAAUCCCAUAAAACCGAUCGUAGUCCGGAUCGCAGUCUGCAACUCGACUGCGUGAAGUCGGAAUCGCUAGUAAUCGCGAAUCAGAAUGUCGCGGUGAAUACGUUCCCGGGCCUUGUACACACCGCCCGUCACACCAUGGGAGUGGGUUGCACCAGAAGUAGCUAGUCUAACC